rnacentral:snRNA from 1 species
GUGUUCACUUUGGUAGCAUACCUCCUGAAACUGGAAUAAUACGGACAAUACAAUAUGAGCAUAACUCCUGCCAGAGGAUGACAGACACAUUUGUGAAGAUUUUAAUACAUUU